UUCAUUGUGGUCGGCGUUCGGGAAAGCCAGGUGGGCGUUUCGGGAACACACAAUUUGACCCAACGUGCCACGCUACAACGACAACGACGCAAGAGGAGAGGUUCUGCCGGACCCUGUUCAAGGCUCAGCAGUGUCCCUAUCCAGGCAGCCAUCCCUCAUUGAGCCGCUGUGGUCGCUGACAUGGGCGCCGGAGGAAAGCCCCUCCUCAAGCUGGCUGAUAUGCCCCACAAUGAACAAGCGCCCGGGACAGCCCAGGAUGAAGCUUGCACACUGAUCGGAGAUCCCCUGGAAUCGACCAUGGCCCCGUCAAUGGCCACUUCGAGUAAGGAA